CGGUGCGCUUAAUGCAUGCAAGUCGAGGGAGAACCAGUCGUUCCGUAAGGUUCGGCUGGGGAAACCGGCGAACGGGUGCGUAACACGUGAGAAACCUGCCCCGAAGACCGGGAUAGCCCGGGGAAACCUGGAUUAAUACCGGAUACCCUCUUUGGACCACAUGGUCCGUUGAGGAAAUGGUCCGCCGCUUCGGGAUGGUCUCGCGGCCUAUCAGCUAGUUGGUGAGGUAAUGGCUCACCAAGGCAGAGACGGGUAGCUGGUCUGAGAGGACGAUCAGCCACACUGGGACUGAGACACGGCCCAGACUCCUACGGGAGGCAGCAGCAGGGAAUAUUGCACAAUGGGCGAAAGCCUGAUGCAGCGACACCGCGUGCGGGAUGGUAGGCCUUCGGGUUGUAAACCGCUUUCAGGAGGGACGAAAAGACG
rnacentral:rRNA from 1 species